UACGAAGGGGGCUAGCGUUGCUCGGAAUUACUGGGCGUAAAGGGCGCGUAGGCGGGUACUUAAGUCAGAGGUCAAAUCCCAGGGCUCAACCCUGGAACUGCCUUUGAUACUGGGUACCUAGAGUUCGGGAGAGGUGUGUGGAACUCCGAGUGUAGAGGUGAAAUUCGUAGAUAUCGAGAGGAACACCGGUGGCGAAGGCGGCCAACUGGACGAAUACUGACGCUGAGACUCGAAAGCGUGGGGAGCAAACAGG
rnacentral:rRNA from 1 species